UGGAGGGGCCUGGAGACUUAAGCCCUUUCUUUAUGCUGCAUCUAUUUGAAGGUUAGCCAGUGGCAGUGCUUCACAAUAUCAGUAUGGCUCAACCCUGACCUGGAGGGACCACCACUCUAGGCUUGAAAGGGUAGUUAAUUUUCCGUGCCCCGGUACAUCCUUGGCCUUG
rnacentral:sRNA from 1 species